ACCCUCGCCGCCACAUUGCAGCCCUCGACGACCCUCGCCGCUGCCUCGCAGCCCUCGACGACGGCCCUCGCGCCGCCGCGGGUCGACCGCGCAGCCGCGGGUCCGGCCGCCGCGCUCGGCAGUCCUCCCCGGCUCCCUGCUCAUCCUCGUGCCGCCGCGGGUCCUCGACGCCGGCCCUCCCGCCGCCGGCCCUCGCAGCCCUCGACGCCAGGCCUCGCGCCGCCGCGGGUAACGCGCGCCGCCGCGGGUCCGGCCGCCGCGCUCGGCAGUCCUCCCCUGCUCCCUGCCCAUCCUCGCGCUCGGCAGUCCUCCCCGGCUCCCUGCCCAACAACCUCCCCGGCUCCCCCAUCCUUGCGCUCGGCUGCUGCCUCCCGUCGAUCCUGGCCAGCUCUCCAUCGGGACUCCACCUCUCCGUCGCGCCGCCCCAUCCGCUCAAGGUGCCCUCCAUGUGGGUGUUUGCAUCUCAAGAUAUGCCUAAAUGGCCUUUAACGGUUCUUCCACUUGGAUGCGAACCCACGGCGGAUGUGAGGAGCUCCGGCCCAUGCUCAAAGUAAGCAAGGGUAUCCAGUCUGCAGGAAUCAGGGCCAAAUUCCUCUCCGCUUCCCUGAUGCCAAAAAAUCUUCCUAGAGUUCGUGUGCAUGGUAGAGGCCAAGGAACAGGUGGUGGCCAGCACACUGUACCAUCAAGACAUGUACCAUCAAGACAUGGAUGAAGAAGGUAUGUGAGACCAAGGUCCGGGUCAAGCUAGGGCUCAAUUUCAGGGAGAUUCAGUGCUUCAUCCUCAAAGUGGAUGCCAAUUGCCAACAUCUUCAACAAGGCCAACCUUAGCGCCAGGAAAGGUUGUUGCUCCCUAUCGUUAGAUCAUUCUAUUGCUUGGGUCAGGAACUGCGUGGUCAAUGCAAGGUAUUUGUAGAAACUAAGUGUUAGUUGUUGGACAUGUGCCAUGUCUUCCUUCAAAUCGAGAACAGUAAAAGGUACAACUCAUAGAGUAUGAGGAUUGGUACUGAUCUGGUUUGGAUCGAAUGAUCAGUGGCACAUUAUUUUGAAUAUCUAAAUGAAUCAUGUUUUGUGGUC